GGAAAGUUAACAUCUAAUCUGGAAGAAGACCCUGGAGGGAGCCAGCCCCUUCCCCCAGGCUGAGCUUGUUUAAGCCUUUCUUCUGCCAAGGUCACCAGCACCCCAGAUGGGUGAGAGAUGUGAUCACUGGUUUCGUGGCCUGACCAAGGACCUCCAAGGAGGUAUCUUUCCCAUCUUGGCCCACAGAGGAGGAAAUCCUAGAAGGGAUGACUGAAGCUUGGGACUAACACAUUGGUGGAUCUGUGCUACUCCCUGCUGGCCACAGAUGGUAUGACAGCCAAGAUAGGGCAAGGAUUUGAGGGGCGAUGGAUGGAUUCACCGCAGCGGCGACAUUUCUGGACUGUUGUCACCUUCAGUGCAGUCACUGGGGAUAUUCAGAACCCAGGUGAUUGAUAAGGUUUCCCCAGGGAUCUCUUCUCUCCCCUUCACCAUUACUCUGUAGGAGCCUCCUUAAAAACGGAAAACGAGAGGCCGGGCGCGGUGGCUCACGCCUGUAAUCCCAGCACUUUGGGAGGCUGAGGCGGGCGGAUCACGAGGUCAGGAGAUUGAGACCAUCCUGGCUAACACGGUGAAACCCCGUCUCUACUUAAAAUACAAAAAAAUUAGCCGGGCAUGGUGGCACGCGCCUGUAGUCCCAGCUACUCAGGAGGCUGAGGCAGGAGAAUCGCUUGAACCCGGGAGGUGGAGGAGGUUGCAGUGAGCUGAGAUGGCGCCACUGCACUCCAGCCUGGCCGACCGAGACCCUGUCUCAAAAAAAAAAAAAAAAAAAAAAAAGGAAAAAGGGGCCGGGCGCGGUGUCUCACGCCUAUAAUCCUAGCACUUUGGGAGACCAAGGCGGGCAGAUCACGAGGUCAGGAGUUCGAGACUAGUGUGGCCAACAUGGUGAAACCCCAUCUCUACUAAAAAUACAAAAAAUUAGCUUGCCUGUAAUCCUAGCUACUCCGGAGGCUGAGGCAGGAGAAUCGCUUGAACCCAGGAGGCCGAGGUUGCAGUGAGCCGAGAUCACGCCAUUGCACUACAGCCUGGGCGACAGAGCAAGACUCCGUCUUGAGGGGAAAAAAAAAAAAAGGAA
rnacentral:antisense_RNA from 1 species